GACGUAGGGGGCCAGCGUUGUUCGGAAUUACUGGGUGUAAAGGGUUCGUAGGCGGUGUGGCAAGUCGGGAGUGAAAUCUCUGGGCUCAACUCAGAGACUGCUUCCGAAACUGCUGUGCUGGAGUGUGGGAGAGGCGCGUGGAAUUGCAGGUGUAGCGGUGAAAUGCGUAGAUAUCUGCAGGAACACCCGUGGCGAAAGCGGCGCGCUGGACCACUACUGACGCUGAGGAACGAAAGCUAGGGGAGCGAACGGG
rnacentral:rRNA from 1 species